UACGUAGGGGGCAAGCGUUGUCCGGAAUCAUUGGGCGUAAAGCGCGUGUAGACGGCUGGCUAAGUCCGCUCUGAAAGCCCAGGGCUCAACCCCGGGAGGCGGGUGGAUACUGGUCAGCUCGAGUCCGGAAGAGGAGUGUGGAAUUCCUGGUGUAGCGGUGAAAUGCGCAGAUAUCAGGAGGAACACCAAUGGCGAAGGCAGCACUCUGGGACGGUACUGACGCUGAGACGCGAAAGCGUGGGGAGCGAACAGG
rnacentral:rRNA from 1 species